GGACUUGUGGCCCAAUAGAUAAGGCGCCUGACUACGGAUCAGGAGAUUCGAUUAUCGAGUCCU
rfam:Nematostella vectensis strain CH2 x CH6 NEMVEscaffold_2080_Cont40212, whole genome shotgun sequence.